GUAUAGCUUAAUGGUAGAGCAUUUACCUAGCAUGUAUAAGACUCUGGGUUCAAUUUUCAGUAC
rnacentral:tRNA from 1 species